rnacentral:rRNA from 1 species
AGAGUUUGAUCCUGGCUCAGAUUGAACGCUGGCGGCAUGCCUUACACAUGCAAGUCGAACGGCAGCGCGGGGCAACCUGGCGGCGAGUGGCGAACGGGUGAGUAAUAUAUCGGAACGUGCCCUGGAGUGGGGGAUAACGCAGCGAAAGUUGCGCUAAUACCGCAUACGAUCUAAGGAUGAAAGCAGGGGACCGCAAGGCCUUGUGCUCCUGGAGCGGCCGAUAUCUGAUUAGCUAGUUGGUGAGGUAAAGGCCUACCAAGGCAUCGAUCAGUAGCUGGUCUGAGAGGACGACCAGCCACACUGGAACUGAGACACGGUCCAGACUCCUACGGGAGGCAGCAGUGGGGAAUUUUGGACAAUGGGCGAAAGCCUGAUCCAGCAAUGCCGCGUGAGUGAAGAAGGCCUUCGGGUUGUAAAGCUCUUUUGUCAGGGAAGAAACGGUGUGGGC